CCUUAUCGAUUUCAUGGGGCGGCGUAUCCAUACGUGAUCUCUAGCUGUAUAUACUGGUCCUUGCAAGUGACGAUCGUACAUGUCUUGUUGAUGAGC
rnacentral:pre_miRNA from 1 species